GAUGAACGCUGGCGGCGUGCCUAAUACAUGCAAGUCGAGCGAACAGACGAGGAGCUUGCUCCUCUGAUGUUAGCGGCGGACGGGUGAGUAACACGUGGAUAACCUACCUAUAAGACUGGGAUAACUUCGGGAAACCGGAGCUAAUACCGGAUAACAUGUUGAACCGCAUGGUUCAACAGUGAAAGGCGGUCUUGCUGUCACUUAUAGAUGGGUCCGCGCCGCAUUAGCUAGUUGGUAAGGUAACGGCUUACCAAGGCAACGAUGCGUAGCCGACCUGAGAGGGUGAUCGGCCACACUGGAACUGAGACACGGUCCAGACUCCUACGGGAGGCAGCAGUAGGGAAUCUUCCGUAAUGGGCGAAAGCCUGACGGAGCAACGCCGCGUGAGUGAAGAAGGUCUUCGGAUCGUAAAACUCUGUUAUUAGGGAAGAACAAAUGUGUAAGUAACUAUGCACGUCUUGACGGUACCUAAUCAGAAAGCCACGGCUAACUACGUG
rnacentral:rRNA from 1 species